rnacentral:rRNA from 1 species
CUACGGGGCGCUGCAGUGGGGGAUAUUGCACAAUGGAGGAAACUCUGAUGCAGCGACGCCGCGUGAGUGAUGAAGUAUUUCGGUAUGUAAAGCUCUAUCAGCAGAGAAGAAAGGCUCCGUAUGGAGAGAUGACGGUACCUGAGUAAGAAGCCCCGGCUAACUACGUGCCAGCAGCCGCGGUAAUACGUAGGGGGCGAGCGUUAUCCGGAUUUACUGGGUGUAAAGGGGGCGCAGACGGAUCUGCAAGUCUGAUGUGAAAGCCCGGGGCUCACCCCCGGGACUGCAUUGGAAACUGUAGAUCUGGAGUAUUGGAAGGGCAAGCGGAAUUCCUGGUGUAGCGGUGAAAUGCGUAGAUAUCAGGAGGAACACCGGUGGCGAAGGCGGCUUGCUGGACAAUAACUGACGUUGAGGCUCGAAAGCGUGGGGAGCAAACAGGAUUAGAUACCCUCGUAGUC